rnacentral:pre_miRNA from 1 species
CUAAUACUCCCUCCGUCCCAAAAUUCUUGUCUUAAAUUUGUCUAAAUACGGAUGUAUGAAGUCAUGUUUUAGUAUUAGAUACAUCCGUAUCUAGAUAAAUCUAAGACAAGAAUUUUGGGACGGAGGGAGUACCUC